rfam:Equus caballus chromosome 20, whole genome shotgun sequence.
UCAAAGGCCCUUUUCAGGGCCGCCCACGUAUUUCCAUAAAAGAGCCU